rnacentral:rRNA from 1 species
AACGAACGCUGGCGGCAUGCCUAACACAUGCAAGUCGAACGAGACCUUCGGGUCUAGUGGCGCGCGGGUGCGUUACGCGUGGGAAACUUCCUCUAGGUUCGGAAUCACCAAGAGGAAUUUGAUCUAAUACCGGAUGAUGUCUUCGGACCAAAGAUUUAUCGCCCUUAGAUGGGCCCGCGUUUGAUUAGCUAGUUGGUGGGGAAAAGGCCUACCACGGCGACGAUACAUAGCUGGUCUGAGAGGAUGAUCAGCCACACUGAGACUGAGACACGGCCCAGACUCCUACGGGAGGCAGCAGUGGGGAAUAUUGGACAAUGGGCGAGAGUGUGAGCGAGAAAUGCCGCGUGAGUGAUGAAGGUAUGAGGGUUGUAAAGCUCUUUUAGCCGAGAUGAUAAUGACAGUAGCGGGAGAAUAAGCACCGGCUAACUCCGUG